GUAAAGCUUACAUCUCUUCGGAGCAUUUUACGAGGUGCUGCAUGGUUGUCGUCAGCUCGUGCCGUGAGGUGUCGGGUUAAGUCCCAUAACGAGCGCAACCCCUACCUUUAGUUGCCAUCAGGUUAAGCUGGGGACUCUAAAGGACUGCCUACGCAAGUAGUGAGGAAGGCGGGGAUGACGUCAAAUCAGCACGGCCCUUACGUCCAGGGCUACACACGUGCUACAAUGGCCGAUACAGAGGGCAGCUACCUGGUGACAGGAUGCAAAUCUCCAAAGUCGGUCUCAGUUCGGAUCGGAGUCUGCAACCCGACUCCGUGAAGUUGGAUUCGCUAGUAAUCGCGCAUCAGCCAUGGCGCGGUGAAUACGUUCCCGGGCCUU
rnacentral:rRNA from 1 species